GAAUAAAAAUCUUUAUUAAUUUAAGUAUUUUAAUUUUAUAUAUUUAAUAAAAAUAUUUUAUAUUUUUUUUAUAGUUAUAGAUAAAAUUUAUAUUAAUUAUAGUUUAAUAGUAUAGAGAUAGAAUUAUUUAAAUAUUUUGAAAAAUUAAUAUAUUUAUAAGAAAAUUUAAAUUAUUGUACCUUGUGUAUCAGGGUUUAUUAAAUAAUAAUUAUACAAUUUAAUUUUCUCGAAUUUAAAAGAGCUAAGAAAUUAUAAAUUUUAUUGUAACAUAAAUAUUUAUAAUAAUUUUUUAGUAAUGAAACGUUAUUCGUUUUUAAAUUUAUCUAGUUUUUUAAGAAAUAAAUUUAAUUUAGUUAUUUAUUAAUUAAUUAUUAUAAUUUUUUAUUUUAAUUAAUAUAAAUAAAUAAUAUUUUAAGGGAUAAGCUUUAAAAUAAAAUAUUAAAAAUAAUUAAAUUAUUAUUAAAAUUUAUAGAAGUGAAAGUAUUUUUUUAUAAUAGUGUUUUAUAACAAAUUUUAAUUUUAAAUAUAAUUUUUAUAUUAUUUUCAAUUUUUUAUUAAAAUUAUUAAUUUAAUAGUUAAAUUAAUGUAAUAAUGAUAAAAUUAGUAUAUAAAUUUAUUUAUAUUGUAAAUUUAUAUUAUAAGAUAUAGAUUAAGUUAAGGAAUUCGGCAAUAUACUUUUUCGCCUGUUUAUUAAAAACAUGUCUUUUUGAUUAUAAUUUAAAGUCUAACCUGCCCUAUGAUUAUAAAAAUUAAAUGGCCGCGAUAUUUUGAUCGUGCAAAGGUAGCAUAAUCAUUAGUUUCUUAAUUAGGAACUGGUAUGAAAGGUUGAACGAGAAAAGGACUGUCUCAAUUUAAAUUAAAUUAGAAUUUUAUUUUUAAGUAAGAAAGCUUAAAUUUAUUUAAAAGACGAGAAGACCCUAUAGAGUUUUAUAUUAAAUUAAUUUAAAAUAAAUUUAAGAAUUAUUAUUUUUUUAUAAUUAGCUUAGUAUUUAAUUGGGGUGAUUAAAAAAUUUAAAUAACUUUUUUUAUUUUUAAACAUUGAUAUAUGAAUAUAUGAUCCAUUUUUUUUAUGAUUAAAAGAUUAAAUUACCUUAGGGAUAACAGCGUAAUUUUUUUUAAGAGUUCUUAUCGAAAAAAAAGUUUGCGACCUCGAUGUUGGAUUAAAAUUAACUUUUGGUGUAGGUGCUAAAACGUUAGGUCUGUUCGACCUUUAAAAUUUUACAUGAUCUGAGUUUAAACCGGUGUGAGCCAGGUUGGUUUCUAUCUUUAAAAUAAAAGAAAUAUUUUAGUACGAAAGGAUUGAAUAUUUUUACAAUGUAAUUAUUUAAGGAUAUUACUAAUUUUAUAUUACUUUGGCAGAAUAGU
rnacentral:rRNA from 1 species